rnacentral:tRNA from 1 species
GGGAAUGUGACUCAGUGGUAGAGUGCUUGCCUUGCAUGCCUGAGGCCCUGGGUUCGAUUCCUCAGCACCA